UUGGAGGGCAAGUCUGGUGCCAGCAGCCGCGGUAAUUCCAGCUCCAAUAGCGUAUAUUAAAGUUGUUGCAGUUAAAAAGCUCGUAGUUGAAUUUCGGGAUCAAUAUGUCGGUCGUGCCUCCGGUACGUACUGGCGUUAUUGGUUUCUCCCUUCUGACGAACCACGAUGUCAUUAAUUUGGUGUCAUGGGGAAUCAGGACUGUUACUUUGAAAAAAUUAGAGUGUUUAAAGCAGGCUCACGCUUGAAUACAUUAGCAUGGAAUAAUGAAAUAGGACGUUUGAUUCUAUUUUGUUGGUUUCUAGGAUCGACGUAAUGAUUAAUAGGGAUAGUUGGGGGCAUUAGUAUUCAAUUGUCAGAGGUGAAAUUCUUGGAUUUAUUGAAGACUAACUACUGCGAAAGCAUUUGCCAAGGAUGUUUUCAUUAAUCAAGAACGAAAGUUAGGGGAUCGAAGGCGAUCAGAUACCGUCGUAGUCUUAACCAUAAACUAUGCCGACUAGGGAUCGGAUGAUGUUAAUUUUUUAAUGACUCAUUCGGCACCUUACGGGAAAC
rnacentral:rRNA from 1 species